rnacentral:lncRNA from 1 species
GAGACUGAGAGGCGAAAGGAAGGGAAUCAGUAGUGGAGUUUACUCCUGUGAGACCACUUCAUUAUUCUCUGUAAGUCAUUUACUGGAAAACAUGGACGGUGGACAUCAAAUCAUGACAUUUCUUUGAGAUGUACAGCAGCCGCAGCCAAACCAAACUCGAGCAGCAGCCCAGCAGGAUGAGGCGGCACGUGCUGGUAGUGAAGUGAGCUGCUGUAAAACACAUCAGGACAUAAUUCAGGAGUUAUAUCGUGCUGGAGAUCAUCACAUUUGUCCAAACGAAAUGAAUGUUUCCUGUUAAGAUGCUGAAUGACAAGGACAGUGUGGGAAAGCAGGAUUUGAACAGCCACAUAUUUUAACCUAUAUUUAAGGGGCAAUGAGUUCCUCAUUUUUUUGUUGGUGCAUCUGCACAUGACAGUGAC